CCCUGUAAAAGGGUCAUUUGACCACCAAAGGGGUCGAGACCCAAAGGUUGAGAACCACUGCUCUUUAGCCUGGUGAGUUAGAAGCAUGUCAGUCAGUCUUACCAACUUGGGCUUAUCAAGCCCUGGUACCUGUGUGAGUCAGGGAAAGCUUCCAGCCUGAUACCUGACCCAUGAACUUGGGAGCAUUUUCUUGAAGGUUUAUGUGUUUUAUGAGACAUUACAGUGAAGUACAGACCCCCCCCCCAAAAAAAAAAGAAGGACGGGUACAGAGGGGAGGAGGGGGAGCUGAUUUAGAGAUAAUGGUGUGGUGUAGCAAUUGUGAGAAAAGGAAUCCCCUCCUCGGAAUCAGCUCUGUGCUGAUCAUUAUGAAAGAUUAUUCAUUCAAGCUGUGAUACCCAAAAUGAUAGGGUUAGCAAGAAAUUAGUGGAAUAGGGUUAGUGGAAAUUGUGUAAUUAAAAUAAUAAUUAAAUCUUUAUCUUGUGUUAUCACUCUGAUGUGAGGGUGGGAUGUGGAGUUCUGUUAAUUUCCAAAAAUUGAAACAUGUUUUAAAAUUUUCUGUAGUGGAUCUGGACUUACAGUAAGAAGGCUGUUCACCUCAUCAAUGGAAUUCCUGUCGGAGUUACACAAACCAGGAAGCUUCCAUGUAUUACAACUCACUUAAUGCUAAAGAGAAUAAGCUAGAGGAGGGCUUCACCUUUAGGAAAGAAAGCAUGCAAGACACUUUUAUCUUACUGAACAAAGAGGAUUGUGAAAAUAUUAUUUACAAAACUGUCACUGAAUAUAUUCAAUAGGCUCCACUAGUCACUAGCGUAUGGAGAUUGAUUUUCUUAUUUCUGAAUACUUUCUGGGAGGCACCUGUUGUUGCCCCAGCUCACUGCCAUCAUGUGGAUUCUGACUCAGAACUGCCCCUGUUGGGAGUAGAAAGCAAGCCUCCGCAUUCUCCUGAGGCACGGCCGCUGGUGGUUUUUCGCUGCUGACCUAGUGGGGAGCAGCACAAUGCCUAACUAUGCCACCAGAGCUCAAAGUAAAGGUCAGCAUUGCUCAUUUACCCCUUAAUAGAGCUUGAACUGAAAUACUUUGACAAGGGAGAGGGGAGUUUCAUCAUUUUCAAAAGCGAUCGGUCUAGUGUGCUAACCCACCACAAUUAACCCCAAUGUCACCAUCAUGUAUUAGUCAAGGGUAGCCAGUUUGUCCAUGUAAGCAUACUGUGUUAAUUAACUUGAGUGGAGCCAUUAUGUAUUGACCUGUGUGGCCACUUUAUAACUAUUAUAAUUCCCUCUGUAACUGCUGACCCAUUGCCACUUAUUUUUGAAAUUGCUGAUGUUGUUUGUAAAUCCCCGUUUUAUUUUAAAAUAAUUUUAUGGAAAAUCCCUCAUUUUUCCAUAUAUGACACUACCUACUCUUGUGCCUUCUUUAUUCCACAAUUUAAAAACUCCCCUCUUAAGCACUCAGGGUCAAGGGAGAAUUAGGCUGUAGCCACCCCUUGCACCACCUAAUAAAGGCUUAUUAGCUUCAAUUAGAGUUAUGUGCGGGUUAAUUAAUCUUACUCGGGUACAACAUGAAAUCACAUCAUCUCAGAUGCCCUUGAAGCAAGGGGUUGUAUAACUUGGACAGGAAAGCAACUGUCUUAUUUUAAAAGUGCUGACUUCUGUUCCGGAGACCAAAUUACAGUGAGUUACAGUUGACAAUGGUUUUUAUUUUUCAUGGAAAACUCCAAGCAAGCAGGAGAAAGAUGAAGUUGUAUGCUCCUCUACAGACUGAUCGUCUUCGCAACUCAAGGAUCCCUUCGACUCUGUCAUAAAGGAGCACGGUUCUCAGCACUUCGGACCCAAAAUGAACGAACUGAGUUUUCUCCCCUCUUCUGUUUUGGAUGACCUUCGAUGAGUUACAAGAAGAACCUGCAGUCCCGACUUGGCACCAAUUCUGUCCUGGCUCUAGAACGGAACUGUCCUGGGAUGUGCCUGAUCCUGAGGGGGCCAGACUGGCUGCUGGUUAGAGUUUGGGAACACAGGAUCGAAAUCCUUAGCUACACCUUGUUGCCAUCAGUCUGUAUGAAAGAGGGGACCCUCCGGGUAGAAUUACUGUCUGUAACUCAGGAUGUGCUGUGUGGGAUCUCGGUCACUGUUCAGGUGGACUAGACUAAUAUUUAUUAGACUUAUAAAUAAAUUAGACUAAUAGCA